rfam:Sorangium cellulosum So0157-2, complete genome.
GGUCAUGAGCGCCAGCGCGUAGCCCCGGCUCGCUGGCCGACAACCCUCCGAACCGCGGUGGGGUGUCCCGGGUGAAGACCUGGCCGGCCGCAUGAGCGGCCGGCAAGCGCGGACU